rnacentral:other from 1 species
AUUUCCCUGCGGUGUCCGAGUGCCGGAUCACAUCCCUUCGGCCGAUGCGUCAAGCAUGAGGCACUGUGUCCGCCCCGGCCGUCAGGCCUUCGCUGGAAGGCGAAACGGGCGGCACUCGCCUCCUUUUUACUCAAAUGGGUAGAAGGGUAAAUUCCUAACGGCACCGCGGGGAUUUU